CCUACGGGUGGCAGCAGUGGGGAAUAUUGCACAAUGGGGGAAACCCUGAUGCAGCAACGCCGCGGGAGUGAAGAAGGUUUUCGGAUUGUUAAGCUCCGUUAGCAGGGAAGAGGAAGGAGGGUACGUGGAGAGGAAGCCACGGCGAACUACGUGCCAGCAGACGCGGUAAUACGUAGGUGGCAAGCGUUGUACGGAAUAACUGGGCGUAACGGGUGCGUAGGCGGUUAAACAAGGUAUAGGUUAAAUAUAUAGGCUUAACCUGUAGAAAGCAUAUAAAACUGUUUAACUAGAGUGCAGGAGAGGUAAGUGAAAUUCCUAGUGUAGCGGUGAAAUGCGUAGAGAUUAGGAAGAACACCAGUGGCGAAGGCGACUUACUGGACUGUAACUGACGCUGAGGCAUGAGAGCAUGGGGAGCAAACAGGAUUAGAUCCCGGGUAGUC
rnacentral:rRNA from 1 species